CAUGGUUCCGAAAUAUCAAAACUGCAUCCACCAUCCACUUCCUAAUGUAAAGCAGGCUUAACAAACAAAACAUCUUCCGAAUACAAGGAUCGAUGAUCAACCUAGUUCAUCCUCCUGACGAGCUGGUUGAUGUAGUUCUCGCGGUUGCCAGCGUCACCGCCCUCGACGUAGUGGUUCCUCUUCUUCUUGAGGCCUCCCAGCGGCGCCUUCAGCUUGAAUGGCCACAGGAAGUUGCUGGCCUCCUUGAAGUGAAGGCCAACGGUCAGGAUCUCGUGGACAAGGUCCUUAAUGCAGAUGAUGUUGUACUUUCCAAGACCCUGACAAUUAUUAGACAACCAAAAUUGUCAGAAUCACACCAAAGUUGCAUUUGGAGAUGCAAAGUAAAGAGCCAUAUGUUGGGCAAUCGACUGCUCACCUCCUUAGUGACCUUGUUAUUGGUUAGAGGAAUCCUUUGCUUGUUGAGCUUUCCAUAGCCUCUCUUGUAGAUCAAAUCCCUCACGAUCUUCAAGUUCGGGUACCUAUUAUAUCCAUUUAGCUCUAGUGCCCAUGCCAUGAGGUCCUCAAGUUGUCGCUAUGACGCGGAGUACGAAAAAUUGCUUCAACAUCGAGGGGAAGAAAAGCCUGGUGCGGGAGUGGUAUAUCCCUGCCGUGUUUGUCAUCCAUGAACCCAAAGACUCUCCGAUGGAGGCAUCUUCCCCGAGGAAUAACGGGUUUAGCCGAGAAGCAAGGAGGGAUCCAUGUAUAUUGCACCAAAUCCGGAAUUUAUGUCCAGCCAAUAUGCCAAAUCGGCCCUUACUGGAGAAGAUCGAAUCCUUGCUGACCUUGUGUGUGCCUCUUCAAAAAUGGUGUGACCGCACAGCCUGUUCUCCACCCACAUUACCUAUAUCAAAUGUUCAAGGUCUUCAGCAAUGUUUGUGGUCUUGAAUAUAUUUUUGAAUGAGAUUUUGGGAGGAUUAUUUCACGGUGUGCGUGGAAAACACAACAUGAUUGAACAAAUCAUAAGUACCUCACCUCCUUGAAGGCUAUGACUUAAUCACGCAUAGGCUACGUUCAACAAUGACAUAGUUCUGAUGAGUUCCGGUGGAACCUUCACAAGAACUGGAAGUUCUCAGUCAGAUCUAUAUACCGGAUUUUCCUCCACUACGAUGCCCCAAUUAAUUGAAAAAAUAUGAAGCUUAAAACCCUUGUCCUCGUGGGGGCGCUAGCACUGUAUUAGUGUCUUUGACUAUUUAAAAAUUAUCGGCUUUUUCAAAAGAAAGAAAAAAAACUCCAUUGCAGAUUGCCUUUUCAUGUAGCGCUGACUCUGUUUUUAGUGUACUCUACACCGACCGGAGCACCUGGCAGUUCCCUAUGCGAAAUGUAUGCAUAUGCAGCGUGCGUCCAAGAGAUAUUUACCAAACAUGGAUCGUCUUCAGAUCGGACUUCCGUCACAUUGAGUUGGCUGUGUUAUUUUCCUUUUUGUUGUAGACUAGCCAGUCUUGCCUGGGUUGUGUACGUUCUAGCGAUAUAGAGGCUAAUUGUGAACUUUUCACUUGUAUUGCUCUGGUGUGUGUUUUGUGUCAUGAAAACUACCUUUAUGAAAAAAGCAUUGUCACGCAUAUACAUUGUAGUCCUCGAAUUGUAGUCGUCUGGGGAUAAUGGGAUAUGCUUCCUCAUGAAGCUCCUAAACUCAUCGCACUUGUGCACUCAGCUAAUCUUGGGUCAUUGUUGUUUAAGCAAAUGAAACGAUGUACUUUGUCUAUUAAGGGUGCUCUCAGCUAACCUAUCUCGCAUUCUCGCGUCAUACUACGAAACUGAUGUCCACGGCAGCUUCCAAGCCAGAACAUACUAGAAAAUUUUAUACUAUGACUUUUUUUGCCUUCUUUCGAUGUGCCAUGCUUGGCUUAAGGUCAAAACAUUAAUUCGUUGGCUACUAUAAUAUAGUAGCUAUUGACUGGCUAGUGUUUCUAACUCUAGUUCUACGGGUUUUUUUUUUGUUUGUUUGUUUUUUUUAAACGAGGCAAAAGACUUGCCAUUUUUAUUGAUUAAGAAGAAGUGAGAAUUGCCUGGUUAAUUGACGGAAAACCGGGCUAAAACCAAUACAACCCAACCCAUAUAACAUGGGCACCACCGGCCAACCUGACCACCGACAUGAAACAUGAGCUGCAAAGAAGAAAAGACAUCCGCCGGGAAGUCGCAAGCGUCAUCGUCAUCACCGGUUACCUCCGAACGGGCGACUCCGACUUCACCAUAGAGCUCCACCAACGAAGCCUCCCCCACAAACAGCUACACAGAGCAAUGACGGCACAUGCCAACAGAUGGCCACACGCGCCAACAACCGACAACUCCGACUUUGACGACGAUCCUCACAAGGGAACCAAGCUCCUCUUGACGCCAUCAUCGUUGCCAAACAGAAAUUGGCGCCCCCGAAACGGCCGCCUCAGCAAACCACGCGGCGAAGAUGCCGCCCUUCCACGCGGCGAAGAUGCCGCCAUCCCACGCGGCGAAGAUGCCGCCAUCCACCGGUCUCAGGUUGUAGACGGCUCCAAGACGAUGCCCCCAAGGAGGAAGAAGACGUGAAGACGCCUUCAUCGCCCGAUCCCGCAGAUCAGAGGUUUCCCUCCGGAGCCAAGGCCGCGGGGUGAGGGAUGGAGCACCAUACAUCAGCGACGCUUCCAAGAAAGAGUGCGACGCCCAAUCUCCACUGAGAAAAACAAGACGUAUGGUCAUUAUUUUGUUGCUCUUGCAAACAACGCGGACAUAAAUCUCUACGAAAUCACAAAACCAUAGAUCAUUGAAGACUUUUACAGGCAAGAGCUAAUUUUUCAAAAAAGAAUGAAGGAGGAAAUAAAUAUAUAGAUUAGUCUGAAGGAAGUUAUUAUUCUUGUUAGUAAAUAAGGCUUCAUUGUAUGUCUAAGUUAUUUAGAAUAUUUUUAAAAUAAAAUAAAUUGCACUGCAGCGAGUCACUGCAAAAUUCAGUUUUCUUAGCCAUUGACAUUUCAUUGACAACCAAACCUCUAUACUAUUUCAAAGUGGCGUCAGUUUUCUUAGCCCAUUGACAUUUCAUUGACAACCAAAACUCUAUACUAUUUCAAAGUUGCCACUGGGCGGCAGUUGCAAAAGCCGGUACAACUGGGAGUCGAUCUAUCAGCAGACAUCAACAAUGAUCUUGUCAUGGCACAGGGUUAGAGCAUCUCCAACAGCCGCGCUAUGCGCCGCGCGCAAAAACCCUGUUUGCCGCGCGCGCUUCGGCUGGUUUAGCGCGGCCGCGAGCGCUGGCUCCAGCAGCCGCGCUAUAAUGCAGCGCGCGCGCGCCGCUCCAGCAGCGCGCAAAAAUACAGCGCGCGCGACUCGCUCCGCGCGCGCGACUUGGGUUUCGAAACAAUUAUCAAAAUGCAAUGAACAUUGAAAUUUGUCCACAAACAUCUUCCAACCAAGUCAUGCCCACAAGUUCAUCCAACCAAGUUCAAAAUGCAAAGUAAAAGUUCAAAACAUAUAAAUGAAAGACACAUCAAACAUCUUCCUCGUCUUCGUCCUCAUCUUCCGAAAAUGAAUCUUCCUCUCUAUCCUCAUCACGCAUCGCAUCACGUGAAGCUCCGACGGUGUUGACAAGAUCUUCAACGGUAUCUUCACGGGAAUGUGUGUGAGGAGGCACAUCAAAAGACAUUCCACCCAUGGCCGGAGGUGCACCCAUGCCUCCCAUAAGAGUAGCGAAACUCAUGCCUCCCAUAGCGGCCAUAGUGUCAGAGGGUGCUCCGAAGCCACCCAUGCCUCCCAUGGCGGUCGGAGGUGCGCCCAUGCCUCCCAUGGCGCCCAAGCCACCCAUGCCUCCCAUGGCGGCCGGAGGUGCACCCAUGCCUCCCAUGGCGCCGAAGCCACCCAUGCCUCCCAUGGCGCCGCCAAGGCCACCGCCACCCAUUGUGAGGAUCAUGGCUCUUUUUUGGAUCAAGACUUCUUCACGAGCAAGGUUGACAUAUUCCUUUUGCGCACCAUUGAACGAAGAUGUGUCCAAGAAGAACAAGUGCUUCUCCCAUUCCAACAACCUAGAUCGCUCCUUCAUGCCCACCUUCCUCUCCUCCAAUGCCACUUUCCUCUCCUUGGCGGCCACCCUCCUCUCCUCGGCCGCCAACCUCCUCUCCUCGGCCGCGGCAUCUUGGUUCCUUGCCAUUUUCCUCACCUCGUUGGCUUCUUUUCUUGCCUUCACAAUAGCUUCCAUAGCAUUUUUGAGCUCAUCAUCUCCUUUCCUCUUCUUCUUUUCGGUUUUGUCUUUCUUGCACCCAUCCGGUCGUUUUGGCUUCGAGUAUGAAACCGAGUUGGGUGUGGGGCUUCUCUUGCCGUCAUCACUUGAUGCAUCAUCCUCCUCAUCAUCAUCAUCCACCUUGCGUUUGUUGCUCAAAUGCAAAUCAUCCAAACCAUCACGAUUCUUCCAUUUCUCAUCAUUCUUUAACACUUCAUAGCAAUGAGACAAGGUAAAGACCCUUCCUUUCUUGAUCUUCCCUUUCUUGGUGGUCCUCGUCUUUUCUUUGAACAAGUUUUGUGCAAUGUUGAACUACAAGAAAAACAAAACAAGUUAGCACUUCGGACACCAAGAACAAGUAUGAGAUGAACAUAUAUGAGAUGACACUUACUCUAUCAUCCUCAUUUGUGCCACUUGGGUUAAUCUUGUCAACAGACUUUUGUGCGGCCGCCCACUUUUGACAAUCCGAGUUGAUUGUGAACCAUCAGGACCGAAGUGAUCUCUCUGAGCGGUCAAUUCCACUCAUGUUGUGAGCAUCAAAGUAUUCUUUCAUUCACCCCCAAUACGCAUCUCUACUUUGAUCACCUUCAAUGGAUGGAUCCCUUGACACUUGCAAAUAAGUAUUGCAUAGUAACUUGUCAUCGUUGGUGCUGUAAUUGCCCGCUCUUCCUUUCGGCGCGUCGACAAUGCCCUCACCCUCCUCGUCCACCUCAAAUUCAUGGUCUUCCAAAUGGAUGUCAUUGGUUUGAGACCAAUGCGAAUUGUUGGACCCAACACCCAUAGUUGACAUGUAUGCAUCAUCAUUGAGACUAAAAAAAUUUUUUGAACAAUGCACAUAAGCUAUCUAUAUGUGAUGAUGCAUUGAAAAACAAAAAGAAAAUAAAAGUUAGAAUUUUUUUCACCUUGGGGGCAUUUCGUCGAACACAUGGUGCGCGUCGGCGGCCGGCUCAACGAGUGAGCUCGUCGGCGCUUCGGUAGCCGCCGCGGCCGUCGAACGCCCUGCAAGCUUCUUUCCCCUCGCCUUCGUGCCGCCGGAGCCGUCCGCCGCCUUGUUUUUCUUCGCCGAAGUUUUGCCCUUCUUCGGCCGCGCUGCAUUGGGGAGCUUCGACGGUGCGGCGGCGGCAUGGGACGGCGCCGGCGCGACGCCACCCGUCGCCGUGGUCAUCAGCGGUGGCAAGAAGAGGCUGCGCGCGAGGCCGGCGCGAGGCGGAGCUCCGGCGGUGGCGACGCCAACGCUAACCGCGCUAGGGUUUCCGGCAGCGNNNNNNNNNNNNNNNNNNNNNNNNNNNNNNNNNNNNNNNNNNNNNNNNNNNNNNNNNNNNNNNNNNNNNNNNNNNNNNNNNNNNNNNNNNNNNNNNNNNNNNNNNNNNNNNNNNNNNNNNNNNNNNNNNNNNNNNNNNNNNNNNNNNNNNNNNNNNNNNNNNNNNNNNNNNNNNNNNNNNNNNNNNNNNNNNNNNNNNNNNNNNNNNNNNNNNNNNNNNNNNNNNNNNNNNNNNNNNNNNNNNNNNNNNNNNNNNNNNNNNNNNNNNNNNNNNNNNNNNNNNNNNNNNNNNNNNNNNNNNNNNUGGCGCUGGCGCCGGCGCGUGCGGGGCGUAGGAGGAGGAAAGGAGGAAAGGAGAGAGUACGGCGCGAGCGGUCGAGUGUGCCGCGCGCUGUACCAGGCGCCCGAAAUACGCCGCGCGGAAUGGCGUUUCCGACAGCGCGCCCAACUCGGUUUAGCGCGCGCGCCGUUAUUGCGCGCCCGCUAGAGCGACCCGCCGCGUUGCGCGUGCGCUAAAACCGACGAAUUUACGGCGCGGCGCUAGUUUAGCGCGGCUGUUGAAGAUGCUCUUAGAUACACAACGGCUGAACAAGGCGAUGUUGAUCAGACCACCUUCGGCACGAGCAAGUUGAUGCCAUCCCUGCAUGAUGCAGGAGGUGACCCAGUUGGCACCUCGUAAAACCAAGGUUGGAUGUGUUUCCUCGUACCUCCUAAUCCAAUUCUGCUCAUCGGCCAGUUGCCCUGUUGCCUCUAGUUGUUCCAAGAGGAUUUGAGUAUGGGACGAGGAGUUCGACCACUCGACGGUGUAUAAUAUAUAUUCUCCAUGACCUUUACAUGUAUUGUUGCCAGGGCAGAACAUGCUUCAUCAAUCUCUCCUUGGUUAUUCCAAAUGCAUUCAGCGUAUGGUUGGUCAGUCAUCGUUAAUGUGUGACAGAUGUUUGGUUGUUUUAGCCCGAAUGGGAAUGUGCUCCUCCCAUUUUCCUUUCUCAAGUCCGUCUGCGUCGGCUCAUCCAAACCGGGAUGUUUUUGAUUGUUUUAGUCAGAAUUUCCAGCCCAACAGAAAUUUUACGCAGAACUAACAAGUUAGAAGAAAAAAUUACAAAACCCAACAUGGAAGUACUAGGCUGACAGCAACGAGAAACGUAUUCGCGGCACAUAGCAGGAGGCAUUAAACACGGUCUCAAAACCUCCACAUACAUAGUCAGAUUCUUCCAAACAUGCAUCAUGGUUCCGAAAUAUCAAAACUGCAUCCACCAUCCACUUCCUAAUGUAAAGCAGGCUUAACAAACAAAACAUCUUCCGAAUACAAGGGGGAUCAUCGAUGAUCAACCUAGUUCAUCCUCCUGACGAGCUGGUUGAUGUAGUUCUCGCGGUUGCCGGCGUCACCACCCUCGACGUAGUGGUUCCUCUUCUUCUUGAGGCCUCCCAGCGGCGCCUUCAGCUUGAAUGGCCACAGGAAGUUGUUGGCCUCCUUGAAGUGAAGGCCAAUGGUCAGGAUCUCGUGGACAAGGUCCUUAAUGCAGAUGAUGUUGUGCUUUCCAAGACCCUGACAAUUAUUAGACAACCAAAAUUGUCAGAAUCACACCAAAGUUGCAUUUGGAGAUGCAAAGUAAAGAGCCAUAUGUUGGGCAAUCGACUGCUCACCUCCUUAGUGACCUUGUUAUUGGUUAGAGGAAUCCUUUGCUUGUUGAGCUUUCCAUAGCCUCUCUUGUAGAUCAAAUCCCUCACGAUCUUCAAGUUCGGGUACCUAUUAUAUCCGUUUAGCUCUAGUGCCCAUGCCAUGAGGUCCUCAAGUUGUCGCUAUGACGCGGAGUACGAAAAAUUGCUUCAACAUCAAGGGGAAGAAAAGCCUGGUGCGGGAGUGGUAUAUCCCUGCCAUGUUUGUCAUCCAUGAACCCAAAGACUCUCCGAUGGAGGCAUCUUCCCCGAGGAAUAACGGGUUUAGCCGAGAAGCAAGGAGGGAUCCAUGUAUAUUGCACCAAAUCCGGAAUUUAUGUCCAGCCAAUAUGCCAAAUCGGCCCUUACUGGAGAAGAUCGAAUCCUUGCUGACCUUGUGUGUGCCUCUUCAAAAAUGGUGUGACCGCACAGCCUGUUCUCCACCCACAUUACCUAUAUCAAAUGUUCAAGGUCUUCAGCAAUGUUUGUGGUCUUGAAUAUAUUUUUGAAUGAGAUUUUGGGAGGAUUAUUUCACGGUGUGCGUGGAAAACACAACAUGAUUGAACAAAUCCUAAGUACCUCACCUCCUUGAAGGCUAUGACUUAAUCACGCAUAGGCUACGUUCAACAAUGACAUAGUUCUGAUGAGUUCCGGUGGAACCUUCACAAGAACCGGAAGUUCUCAGUCAGAUCUAUAUACCGGAUUUUCCUCCACUAUGAUGCCCCAAUUAAUUGAAAAAAUAUGAAGCUUAAAACCCUUGUCCUCGUGGGGGCGCUAGCAUUGUAUUAGUGCCUUUGACUAUUUAAAAAUUAUCGGCUUUUUCAAAAGAAAGAAAAAAAAAACUCCAUUGUAGAUUGCCUUUUCAUGUAGCGCUGACUCUGUUUUUAGUGUACUCUACACCGACCGGAGCACCUGGCAGUUCCCUAUGCGAAAUGUAUGCAUAUGCAGCGUGCGUCCAAGAGAUAUUUACCAAACAUGGAUCGUCUUCAGAUCGGACUUCCGUCACAUUGAGUUGGCUGUGUUAUUUUCCUUUUUGUUGUAGACUAGCCAGUCUUGCCUGGGUUGUGUACGUUCUAGCGAUAUAGAGGCUAAUUGUGAACUUUUCACUUGUAUUGCUCUGGUGUGUGUUUUGUGUCAUGAAAACUACCUUUAUGAAAAAAGCAUUGUCACGCAUAUACAUUGCAGUCCUCGAAUUGUAGUCGUCUGGGGAUAAUGGGAUAUGCUUCCUCAUGAAGCUCCUAAACUCAUCGCACUUGUGCACUUAAUCUUGGGUCAUUGUUGUUUAAGCAAAUGAAAUGAUGUACUUUGUCAUUAACGGUGCUCUCAGCUAACCUAUCUUGCAUUCUCGCGUCAUACUACGAAACUGAUGUCCACGGCAGCUUCCAAGCCAGAACAUACUAGAAAAUUUCAUACUAGGACUUUGUUUGCCUUCUUUCGAUGUGCCAUGCUUGGCUUAAGGUCAAAACAUUAAUUCGCUGGCUACUAUAAUAUACUCCCUCUGUAAACUAAUAUAAGAGUGUUUAGAUCACUAUUUUAGUAUUCUAAACGCUCUUAUAUUAGUUUACGGAGGGAAUAGUAGCUAUUGACUGGCUAGUGUUUCUACUGAGAUAAACAAAACGUAUGGUCAUUAGUUUGUUGCUCUUGCAAACAACGCGGACAUAAAUCUCUACGAAAUCACAAAACCAUAUAUCAUUGAAGACUCUUACAGGCAAGAGCUAAUUUUUCAAAAAAAAAUGAAAGAGGAAAUAAAUAUAUAGAUUAGUUUGAAGGAAGUUAUUAUUCACGUUAAUAAAUCAGGCUUCAUUGUAUGUCUAAGUUAUUUAGAAUAUUUGUAAAAUAAAAUAAAUUGCACUGCAGCGAGUCACCGCCAACAUUCAGUUUUCUUAGCCCAUUGACAUUUCAUUGACAACCAAACCUCUAUACUAUUUCAAAGUUGCCACUGGGCAGUUGCAAAAGCAGGUACAACUGGGAGUCGAUAUAGGAGCAAACAUCAACAAUGAUCUUGUCAUGGCACAGGGGUUAGAGACACAACGGCUCAACAAGGCGCUAUUGAUCAGACCACCUUCGGCACGAGCAAGUUGAUGCCAUCCCUGCAUGAUGCAGGAGGUGACCUAGUUGGCACCUCGUCAAACCAAGGUUGGAUGUGUUUCCUCAUACCUCCUAAUCCAAUUCUGCUCAUCGGCAUGUUGCGGUAUUGCCUCUAGUUGUUCUAAUACUAGAGGAUGAACCAUUCUCGCUCUUAAGAGGAUUUGAGUAGGGGAUGAGGAGUUCAACCACUCGACGGUGUACCGUUGACCUUUACAUGUACCGUUGCCAGGGCAGAACGUACUUCAUCAUCAAUCUCUCCUUGGCGUAUGGUUGGUCAGCAAUCGUUAAUGGGUGACAGACGUUUGGUUGUUUUAGUCCGAAUGGGAAUGAUUUGAGUGGGAAUGUGCUCCUCCCAUUUUCCUUUCUCAAGUCCGUCUGCGUCGGCUCAUCCAAAUCGGGAUGUUGUUUGUUUGUUUUAGUCAGAAUUUCCGGCCCAACAACAGAAAAUUUUACGCAGAACUAACAAGCUAGAAGAAAAAAAUUACACCACAUGAAGUGCUAGGCUGACAACAAUAAGAAACGUAUUCGCGGAACACAGCAAGAGGCAUUAAACACGGUCUCAAAACCUCCACAUACAUAGUCACAUUCUUCCAAAAACAUGCAUCAUGGUUCCGAAAUAUCAAAACUGCAUCCACCAUCCACUUCCUAAUGUAAAGCAGGCUUAACAAACAAAACAUCUUCCGAAUACAAGGGGGAUCAUCGAUGAUCAACCUAGUUCAUCCUCCUGACGAGCUGGUUGAUGUAG
rnacentral:lncRNA from 1 species